rnacentral:misc_RNA from 1 species
GAGUCAAGUGUACCCGAAGUCGCUAGUCUAACCCUGAUGGGAGGGCAGUGCCGAAGGUAUGUUUGGUAAGGAGGGUGAAGUCGUAACAAGGUAGCCGUACCGGAAGGUGCGGCUGGAUCACCUCCUUUCUAAGAGAAAGGUAUAUAUCUUGGAGUACACGGGAUAGAUGCUUUGAUAUUUGUUUGUCUGCUUUUCCUUGUUCUUUUAUAGGAUUUGGGUCUGUAGCUCAGUUGGUUAGAGCACU